UUUGAGAUGGAGUCUCGCUCUGUCGCCAGGCUGGAGUGUGCGGCGCAAUCUCAGCUCACUGCAACCUCUGACUCCCUGGUUCGAGUGAUUCUUCUGCCUCAGCCUCCCAAGUAGCUGGGAUUACAGGUCAGGAAUAAAUUAGAUGGUCAGUAUUAUGCAAUAAAAAAAAUCCUGAUUAAGGGUGCAACUAAAACAGUUUGCAUGAAGGUCCUACGGGAAGUGAAGGUGCUGGCGGGUCUUCAGCACCCUAAUAUUGUUGGCUAUCACACUGCGUGGAUAGAACAUGUUCACGUGAUUCAGCCACGAGCAGACAGAGCUGCCAUUGAGUUGCCAUCUCUGGAAGUGCUCUCCGACCAGGAAGAUGACAGAGACCAAUAUGGUGUUAAAAAUGAUGAAAGUAGCAGCUCAUCCAUUAUCUUUGCUGAGCCCACCCCAGAAAAAGAAAAAUGCUUUGGAGAAUCUGACACCGAAAAUCAGAAUAACAAAUCGGUGAAGUACACCACCAAUUUAGUCAUAAGAGACUCUGGUGAACUUGAGUCGACCCUGGAGCUCCAGGAAAAUGGCUUGGCUGGUUUGUCUACCAGUUCAAUUGUGGAACAGCAGCUGCCACUCAGGCGUAAUUCUCACCU
rnacentral:sRNA from 1 species